rnacentral:rRNA from 2 species
AGGGGUAUAUAGUGCUUGCACUAUAGAGACCGGCGCACGGGUGCGUAACGCGUAUGCAAUCUACCUUAUACAGGGGAAUAGCCCAGGGAAACUUGGAUUAAUGCCCCAUAGUAUCAUUAAGUAGCAUUACUUGAUGAUUAAAGAUUUAUCGGUAUAAGAUGAGCAUGCGUCCCAUUAGUUAGUUGGUAAGGUAACGGCUUACCAAGACAGCGAUGGGUAGGGGCCCCUGAGAGGGGGAUCCCCCACACUGGUACUGAGACACGGACCAGACUCC